CAGUCGCCGCGGGAAAACGUAGGUGGCAAGCGCUGUCCGGAAUUAUUGGGCGUAAAGGGCUCGCAGGCGGUUUCUUAAGUCUGAUGUGAAAGCCCCCGGCUCAACCGGGGAGGGUCAUUGGAAACUGGGAAACUUGAGUGCAGAAGAGGAGAGUGGAAUUCCACGUGUAGCGGUGAAAUGCGUAGAGAUGUGGAGGAACACCAGUGGCGAAGGCGACUCUCUGGUCUGUAACUGACGCUGAGGAGCGAAAGCGUGGGGAGCGAACAGGAUUAGAUACCCCCGUAGUCCCUGUCUCUUAUAC
rnacentral:rRNA from 1 species